AAUAAUUCAGAGUGAGAGGAAACAGAGAUUCUAGGCAGCCCUCAGGGAAGCUGAGGAGGUGGCACCCUGCCUCCGGGUCCCUCAGAAUGUCCCAUCUCCCUGUCAGUAUCAGUGUCCCAGAUAAUCUUCUUCUGAUUGGGACAUUUCCCAAUUUGGGAACAGUGGUUACUUGCCAAAUUCACAUUUACGGCCAAAACUGUGGCUGCAGUGUCGACAUUCAUGCAAGUGGGGAAAUGGGCAUGUGGCCCCUGAAAAAAGAUUCUGGAUUCCAUAAUCUCACCUUGCUGGCAAGAAACUACCGUUUCAGCAGAAAGUGCAAUGACAGUGUCUGCACAGGGACUGGAGAUUAUCUCUAGAAAAGAGCUUGGAGUGAGGAAAUUAGUUAAUGUGGAUGAAUGACGUUACCCAUGGAGAAUGAAGUAAGUAGCUAGAAGACAAAAGCCUCAGAACACAUAAAUCUCAACGGGUACUGAGUAGAGGACUCGGAGCUCUGAGGUAACUGGAGCUCAUGGCUAUCCUAGAACUUGGAUAACAUAAAGUUCUUGUUUCUACAAAGUGUGUAUCCUUUCCAUAUGUGAGAACUCUGAGGAAAUACAAACUUGGAACAAAAGAAAUAGUAAGGUAAUCUUAGAAAGAUGUUGAAUAGAAAGCAAGCUACGGUGACAUCUUAACUGUUUCACUGCCCAGCAAUCUAUACGUAUUGUCACUUGGGGACACUUAUGAUUCCACAUGAAGUGGAUAACCAGCUCAUAGUUCUUGUGGUACCGAAAACCAAGUAUUUGGCCGGGCAUGGUGUGGUGUACUCGUAAUCUCAGCUCCUUGGGAGGCUGAGGUAGGAGAAUCACUUGAACCUGGGAGGCCCAAGUUGCAGUGAGCCAAGAUUGCACCACUGCACUCCAGCCUGGGUGACAGAAUGAGACUCCGUUCCAACGCGAAGUCUCUUAAGACCAAGGAGAGCAGACAUUCUGAUGUUUCCCACAUUGACAGCACUCAUAAGGCCUUUCUCCAGUAUGAACUCUCCUGUGUUUAACGAGAUGGGAUGCUUCAGCAAAGGAUUUCCCAUAUUCACUGUACUCAUAAGGCCUUUCUCCUGUGGGAACUCUGAUGAUGAAGGAGGGUAGAGCUUCGCUGAAAUGUUUUUCCACAUUUGGUGCAUUCAUAAGGCCUUUCUCCAGUAUGAAUUCUCCUGUGUUUAAUGAGACUGGAACAUCAGCAAAGGAUUUUCCACAUUCACUGCACUUGUAAGGCUUUUGUCCAGAAUGAACUCUUUUAUGAACAUGAAGCGCAGAGCUGGAAAGAAAUGAUUUACCACAUUCACUGCAUUCAUACGGCCUUUCUCCAGUGUGAAUCCUCUGAUGUAUAGUCACGCAGUUCUUAUUACCAAAUAAUUUCCCACAUACCUCACACGCAUAUGGCCUUUCUCCAGUGUGAACUCUCUCAUGAACGAGAAGAUGAUACUUCCUGUUAAAUAAUUUCCCACAUUCCCUACAAUUGUAAGGUCUUUCCCCAGUGUGAAGUCUCUGGUGUUCAGUGAGGUGGGAUCUGUACCUAAAUGAUUUCCCACAUUCCCUGCACUCAUAGGGCCUUUCUCCAGUGUGACCUCGCUGAUGUUGAACGAGGUUGCCCUUUUGACCAAAAGAUUUUCCACAUUCUCCACACUUGUAAGGCCUUUCUCCAGUGUGAACACGCUGAUGGUUAAUAAAGCAGAACUUCUGACGAAAAGAUUUCCCACAUUCCCCACAGUGAUAAGCUCUCUCUCCAGUGUGACCUCGCUGAUGUUGAAUGAGGUUACCCUUUUGACCAAAAGAUUUCCCAUAUUCUCUACACUCAUAAGGCCCUUCUCCAGUGUGAACACGCUGAUGGCUAAUAAGGCUGCCCUUCUGACUAAAAGAUUUCCCACACUCCCCACAGGGAUAAGCUGUCUUUCCAGUGUGGACUCGCUGAUGUUGAAUAAGGCUGCCCUUAUGACUAAAAGAUUUCCCACAUUCUCCACAUUCAUAAGGUCUUUUCCCAGUGUGAACUCUCUGAUGAUUACUGACACUAUCAUAUUUGCUAAAGGAUUUCCCACAUUCCCAGCAAUAACAUUCCUCUCUAGAGGGAAGUCUCUGCUGUUGAACAAAUACGUGUUUGGUGCUAGAAUGUUUCAUGCAUUCUCCACAGCUGUAAUGAGUAUCUCCCCGCUGAAAGGGAGACUCACACUCAGGUUUGCUGUUUGACUUCUCCCCAGUGUG
rnacentral:lncRNA from 1 species